GCCGGGAUGGCGGAACUGGUAGACGCGCCGGAUUCAAAAUCCGGUGGUUUUGCGACCAUGAGAGUUCGAGUCUCUCUCCCGGCACCA
rnacentral:tRNA from 1 species